rnacentral:rRNA from 1 species
GAUGAACGCUGGCGGCGUGCCUAGUACAUGCAAGUCGAGCGAACGGACGAGAAGCUUGCUUCUCUGAUGUUAGCGGCGGACGGGUGAGUAACACGUGGAUAACCUACCUAUAAGACUGGGAUAACUUCGGGAAACCGUAGCUAAUACCGGAUAAUAUUUUGAACCGCAUGGUUCAAAAGUGAAAGACGGUCUUGCUGUCACUUAUAGAUGGAUCCGCGCUGCAUUAGCUAGUUGGUAAGGUAACGGCUUACCAAGGCAACGAUGCAUAGCCGACCUGAGAGGGUGAUCGGCCACACUGGAACUGAGACACGGUCCAGACUCCUACGGGAGGCAGCAGUAGGGAAUCUUCCGCAAUGGGCGAAAGCCUGACGGAGCAACGCCGCGUGAGUGAUGAAGGUCUUCGGAUCGUAAAACUCUGUUAUUAGGGAAGAACAUAUGUGUAAGUAACUGUGCACAUCUUGACGGUACCUAAUCAGAAAGCCACGGCUAACUACGU